rnacentral:lncRNA from 1 species
AAGUGAUGGAGGGCUUCAGAGAUGAGAGAGGAAAGAGAUUUUAAAAGAGAGAAAGCCUUCUUUGCGUAGUAACGAAGCAGAGGCCUCAUUUUAUUGUGGCAUUUGGGUGCGGGCUUGGACGUAACGCCAUGGACUGACUAAUCAUGGCACGAUGUUUUCAAUUUUCUACCGUCCAAACACAAGGAGACAUUCAGAGCAAAUUCCUUUCGAUAUCACUUAAAUGCAUUUUAGGGAUUGGGUCCUGGCAUCUGGAUAUUAACGCCAUGGCUGGUUGCUCCUAUACGAAGCUAGAGAGAAAGAGAGAUCCUUGAUGGAUGGAUGGAUGAGAGAGAAAGAGAGAGAGAGGGGUAUUUGGUGAAGAUGUGUGCUGCUGUUCCUUUUUAUUAGCGCGGAAACUUUCCAAGGCCGUGACAUAAAUGUUGGAAAUAUAGUUGGCAUGCAUUAUUUCUUCUCGUUUACAGUCCUUCCAUUGAUAAGUUUGGAAUUUGUGCAUCAAAACGUGGAUUAGUGAUUCAUCUCUCGACUCUGAGGAUAAUUAGUGACUG